rnacentral:lncRNA from 1 species
GAGUCAUAUUUUUCAUAUACAUCAAUAAAAAUCUUGUAAAAAACAUAUUCCCUUUGACAAUACACAGGUAUAAGCACUAAAUAAAUGCACAUCCCUUGAGACCUGAAUCAACAUGGCACAUACAGGUAUCUUAGAACAUGCAUCAGCAAUUUUUUUAUUAUAUAGAGAACAACCAAACCAAUCAUAUGCCCAUCUAAGCAGAAAAAAGUCAGAAGCCUCUUGCCUGUGUUAAUCUAGUACGUUUUAAUUUAAGUUUAUUUAUAUGUUUGGAGUUUAGUGUGAUGUCCAUUUUCACUAAAUUUUAUUUAUGAGCCAGCUGAAGCUCUCCUCCUGGUGAGGAAUUUUUUCACUUUGUUGAAGACCCAUUGAUGACAUUGUAUUUCUGUCCAUAUGAUGAG